rnacentral:lncRNA from 1 species
AUUACCUUGGUGUCGGAAUAAUGUUGGUAUUUAUCAAAGAAAUAAAUCCCAACUGCAGCAGCUACUGCUGGUGCUGUCAUGUAAAGGGUGCCCAGAGCCAUUAAUCUCUUAGAGCAGAAGAAGCAGAGGUUUUUAUUCUUCCCUUUGUAGGCAAAGAGAAAAAUGUCUUGUUUGUAGCUCUUCUAUCUGCUGAAAAUCUUCAGAGAUAUAGGAAGGAAAAGGAGAUGAUCAGUAAAGCAAAGGAAUAUGAGAUAUCUUGGUGGUAAAGACAAGUAAAGAAUGGAGUAUAAAAAAUAAUAAGAGAAAAUGUGGAAGACCUGACCUCAUGUCAAAGGCACAAAUUAAUGGAAUUUUUGUGGGCCCUAGAAUUUUCCAUUAAAAACAUGCGACAAAAUUUGUGUGAUUCAGGAAACACAGAACCAAAUUAUUAUAUAUAUAUUUCCUCAAGUUCAUGGCUUAAUGCUUAAUGAUAUUCAUAUAUAUAUGAAGUUGGUUGGAAAAAAAUUAAUCUUAAGAUAUCUGAUUAAGUCAAUGCUUAAUGCAUGAUUUUUUCAUCAUGGCUGAACAUAUUAUUUGCAUGAGGAUUGUUAAAUCCACAACAAAAAAUGUUAUUUUUACAAUAAAAGUAUCGCUAUAGAUCCUAUAGUGACGGUUUUUACCGUCGCUAUACAUCUAUAACGACACUUUUAUUAUAGAAAUAAAAAAAAUAUUAUGAAUUUAACAAUUUCCUAUUUGCAUUCAUCAUAUAUUAGGGGAAUUCUGGUUUACACAUUUCACCGUAGUAUGUCAAGACUCACCCUCAACCUGAUGGUUAUCAUAUGUUGAGGCCAAAUGCCUUUGACUUGGGUUAACGUUUUCUAUAUAUCUAUGAUUAUUUGUUAUUAAUUUUUUUUAAAAUAAUAUAUAUAUAUAUAUAUAUAUAUAUAUAUAUAUAUAUCAAAUGAUUACUGUAUUAAUAUUUAAAAUUUGUGCAAAAUUUACUUUUAAAAGUAUUAUAAAAUACACUAAAUUACAAUCAUCAUCUCCAAAGUUUCAAGUCAUGAAACAUAAUGAUAUNNNNNNNNNNNNNNNNNNNNNNNNNNNNNNNNNNNNNNNNNNNNNNNNNNNNNNNNNNNNNNNNNNNNNNNNNNNNNNNNNNNNNNNNNNNNNNNNNNNNGUCCUGAUCCUGCACAAUAAACACGAUAAACACCACAAGCUUGACGGCUGUUCCGUCGGGGGAUAGCUCAGGCGUGAGAGUCAGUAUACGUGUUCACAAGGUUAACAAUGGAGGAUGUAAUAUCUAGUGUAUUGAGAGAGAUAAUAAUUCUCUGUUGUGUGUAUGUGAUUAUCAAUGUGAAUGUUAAUGUAUCUGUUUGUGAAGACCUCCUUGCUAAGUUAUACUCUCUUUGCCCGGAUUACCGUGCCACCCACUACUAUCUGACACGGCCCCCUGAUCUGAUGGAUUCUGCCAACUGCAUGUAGUCUACCUACUACUUUUGGUCACUGUUUCUACCGCCGGCCGGCUAUGAUCUCAUCCACAUUAAUGCAUGACAAGUCCAAGAUAGAGAUAUUAAAAUAUCUAAUGGGUCGAUCCACUAAUCAACCCGAUCUUAAAAGGAUCCAACAGAAAUAACAUAAUGACUAGGCCAAAUAACUUUAAGACUCAAUAGUAAGGACCCAAUGAACAAAUCAAAUAAGUAGGCCCAAUAUACUCGGCCCAGAGAGGGGAAAUAUCAUGACCCAACAUUGCCCCCUAGUUUUUUGUUGAACGGAAUGUUUAAUAGAAAACUAUAAAUGGUCCAUGAUAUUUUACUAAAAGUCCAUAGUGAGAAAUAAUCGAAAUGUACCCGGUUAUUGUUCAAGAGAUGAAAUGAGAGGAGAACGGAGGCCCAAAUCAGAAAGGCUCUGCCUAAUAAAUAUCUGGACCCGGAACCGGACGCUUCCCAUUCAAAUUCUAAAUCAUUACUAACAUUUAAUGUGCCGGCCUUGUACACCGUGUAACCGUCAGUAUAAAAGAUAACUUCACUAAAUUUGACAGUUUUACCUGCCCAUUUGAAAUUCGAGCGCCUUUUGAGUUUUCUUCGUCCCUGAACUAUCUGUCCUCCUUUGUGAACUGUCAAAAAUGGCUUCCCAAGAUUCUGAACAAAGUUCACCCCUUUUAGUAACACCGAUCAACGCUGUUUCACCAAACCCUAACACCCGCGAAGGAACCUCAACCUCGAACCCCAAAGGAAAGAAAACCGAUAAGAAUCCUCCUAUAAAAACCCCCCCAAAACUCCCUCUGAAUACUACAAGGAUACGGAUCGUUUCUCGCAUGCUAACAUUCCCUCUAUUGUCACUGAAGCUGAGUUAAAAAGGAUUUGAUCUCGGUACCACAUUCUGGAUACUCAUGCGGCUAGGGCUCCCAGAUCUGGUAAGAAAAUGUAUCAACGGCCAGAGGGUUGGACAGCCGUCCCUGUGACCCUGCUUGAGAAGGGGGUCCAUUUUCCUCUGCACGCCUUCAUAGUGACUAUACUGGGGUUCCUGAGCGUGGAGUUCGCCCAAUUGGUACCAAAUUCUUACAUUCACAUUUUGGCCUUUGUUGCCUUCUGCCAUGAGUUGGGCGUUGAGCCUUCUCUCGACUUCUUCUUCACCGUGUACAAGAUCGUCCAAUCCAGAGAGAAAGGGUUUAAAGCUCUCAACAAACACUCUCCGAAGUCGGGAGAAAAGUUCGAGAGACGUUCGUUGGUGAACACUCCUUCGAGCAAUAGGGGAUGGCACGAGAAGUGGUUCUUCGUCAAAGGUCCUGAAAUCUCUUCUUUAUCGAACUGGGCCACUGACGAGAAGAUCUCUGCUGACUUCGGAGAUAUCUCUGAAGAACGGGAAGUUGAGAUGAUGGAGCUUUUUGAUAACUUUCCCAAGGAGGAGUGGAAGUACGGACUCCUCUCGAAGCAGGCGUGGUUAUAUGACCAUAAAUGUAAGUAUUGGUCUAUUUGAUACAUAAAUUUUUGAAAAUGUUUUUAUGAUGUGGAAUCUAACAUAGGACUGUUUGUUUCGUGCAGUAUCUUUGAUCAGACCGAGCUUCUUAGAAAUAAAGGAGUUUGAAGAUUUUUUGUCGUGGAAGUCUUCGGAAGUUGUUGAGAGUCUACCAACAGAGGCUACCCCCGAAGCCGAGCCAACCCCUGAAAUACAUAUCGAUGAACCCCAAACAGAAGAACCAGAAGCUGAUAAGGUUCACGUAUCGGAAGAGACCCUUCGUCCUCGUCAGAAGAGGAGGGCCACUAGAAAACCCAGAUCAACACCUCUUCCCAGCUCUUCUGAAGCCAUCCCAGAAACUGAGCCAACCACCACAUCAAUCCCUCGACGAGUAGGCUUGCUCGAUCAUCCUGAUCGAAGAAGCAUCCUCCGGAUCAAAAAAUUAAAAACCAAGAUAACCCCCCUGACCGCCGAAGAACUCAGGGUGCCUCAGUCCUCACUCAUCCCACCUUUCGUGCCGCCUGUAGAAAUACAAAUUGUCGAAGAAGGUGAGCAGGACGAAACUGUUCCAACGCUGUCCAGGAAGAGGAAGCGUACACCUGACAGCUAUCCAAGUUCUGCCUCUGCCGCAUCUCCCCGAGAACCCAUUCCAAAUAAAUCGCCCUCUCCCGAGACUGUAUAUGCGGACCCCACCCCUCCUGAGCAGCCAAUCCCUUCUCCCGAAAGACCGAGACCUUCCCCCGAAUGACCCGGUCCUUCAGGUCAGGGUUAUCAUGCUGAGGCUAUGGGAUCCCCGACUCUGUGGCCUAGAUUCAAUGCAAAUUUCCCAUUCAAUCUUUUCGGAGCUUUCGUCCGGAAUGCUGAUGACCACCGGUUCAGUGACCAUACGGAUGGAAAUCUGCUUGACGAGGGGAUGAGCUAUCUGGCUAAGGUAAAUAACAGUUUCUUUAUUUUCUAUUUCUCUGUUCUUGUUUAGAUAUCUGAACACUGUUGAACAUAUACAGGCCAAUGCUGUCUUCGGAUGUUUGCGUCCGAGGCACAUAAAUGAGGAGGCCGAGGAAGAUUUCAUGAGACAGGAGAUCAACAUGCUGAGAUCGACCCUGGCUCGAGAAAGGGCCGAUCGCGAAGACGCUCUUCAUACCAUCGACGGCCUUCAAAGAGACUUAGAUCGGGCUAGGAUGGACUUGAAGACGUCUGACGACGAGCUAAGGGCCACAAGGGAUGGGCUGGCUGCGUCCGAAGCCGGUCAACAAGUUUUAACUGAUAUGAACGCAGGCCUGGUCGAAGAAAACCUACUCUUGAAGGCCAAAAAUGAGGAGUUUUCUUGAGCCAACCGAAGCUUGGCGAUUCAACUUGGCAAGGCUUAGGCGAAGGCCCAGGACGAAGAGCGAAGACAUAAGGCUUAGCGUCAUAAACUUCGUCACAAAAUAAAGGAGCUUGAGGGACGGGGUCCUCUUCUGACUGAAGAGCUGCGGAAGCAGAUUCAGGCGGACUACAGGGACUCGGACGAUCUUAAUGCCGAAAUCAUGAAGGUCUAUUCGGAGGGGUAUGAAGACUGCCGAGAGCGAGGUAAAGAAAAGCUAUCUGCCGCUCAGCUGGAUCCGGCCCUUCUUAACUCCGAGGACGAAGGUGGUGCCUGAAUNNNNNNNNNNNNNNNNNNNNNNNNNNNNNNNNNNNNNNNNNNNNNNNNNNNNNNNNNNNNNNNNNNNNNNNNNNNNNNNNNNNNNNNNNNNNNNNNNNNNNNNNNNNNNNNNNNNNNNNNNNNNNNNNNNNNNNNNNNNNNNNNNNNNNNNNNNNNNNNNNNNNNNNNNNNNNNNNNNNNNNNNNNNNNNNNNNNNNNNNNNNNNNNNNNNNNNNNNNNNNNNNNNNNNNNNNNNNNNNNNNNNNNNNNNNNNNNNNNNNNNNAUAAGGACCUUUGUCUACCACUCGGGGUAGAACAACAAAUGGGCUGCCAUCGAAUGGACAGCGAGUCCUACCAUACCUCCUUACACCAUCGUGACCUUAGGACAAAUAGGACCAGGAUCAAUAGUGACCAUUGACUUACCACCCUUGGUAAAAUUAAUAUAGGAUCAUAAGGACCUUUGUCUACCACUCAGGGUACAACAACAAAUGGGCUGCCAUCGAAUGGCCAGCGAGUCCUACCAUACCUCCUUAUACCAUCGUGACCUUAGGAUAAAUAGGACCAGGAUCAAUAGUGAAAAAGUGACUUUUUAUUGAUAAUGGACAAUCAUAUACAGACUUCUGAUAAAUUGACUUGAUCUCUAUUAAAAGUAUUUCCGAAGCCUGCCAGCAUGCCAAGUGUUCUUGAUCUCGGAACCAUCUAAUGCCUUUAACCGAUAGGUGCCCGGCUUUGAUACUUCGAUCACUUCAUACGGCCCUUCCCAGUUUGGCAUUAACUUUCCCGUGUUUUGAGGUGUAGAAGCUUCGACUUCUCUGAGGACGAAGUCUCCUACUUCGAAUCUGCGAAGUUUGACUCCUUUGUUGUAAUGUUUAGCUACUCUUCGUUGAUAAGCAGCCAAUUUGAGUAAAGCCACUUCUCUGACUUCUUCUAGUAGAUCCAAGUUGGCCUUUAGUCCUUCGUCAUUAUAGAUCUCUUUGAAUUGACUGGCCCGAAGACUUGGAGAUCCAAUUUCGACUGGGACCAAGGCAUCAGUACCGUAGGCCAGCCGAAAAGGUGAAUCCCCUGUGGUUGUCCUCGGCGUAGUCCGGUAAGCCCACAGCACGCUGAGCAGCUCUUCUGGCCAUCUUCCUUUAGCUUCAUCCAGUCUGCGCUUGAUCCCGUUCAGUAGCGUCCUGUUGGUCACCUCAACUUGCCCAUUUGACUGUGGGUGAGCCACCGAAGUCUUCUUAUGCUGAAUCCCCAGCUCCUUUAAAAAUCCUUCAAAUUUGGAUCCUACGAACUGACGUCCGUUGUCCGAUAUCACCACUCUAGGAAUUCCGAAGCGAAACACUACGGACUCUUUUAUGAAUUUCAAACACUCUUGUUCCGUUAUUAAUCGAAGUGGCUUCGCCUCUACCCAUUUGGUCAUGUAAUCAAUAGCAACCAUGACGAAGCUGACCUGACCUUUAGCUUUAGGCAACGGACCCAAUAUAUCUACCCCGCAGACAACGAAGGGUAUAGGAGAUAAAAUCGAAUAUAGCUCUUUCGGUGGCUGAUGUGGGAUCGGACUGUUGAGCUGGCAUUUUUCACAUCUCUUGACAUACUCUGUAGCUUCCUUGAAAAUUGUAGGCCAAUAGUAUCCUUGCCGAAGUACUUUAUAAGCCAAAAACUUGGCAGCCAUAUGAUCACCGUAAAUACCCUCGUGAACUUCCCGAAGAGCAUACUCCGCCUCGGAUGGGACCAGGCACUUCAGCAAUGGUGAGGAAAAGGCCAAUCGAUAAAGAUCCCCAUCAAUAAGAACAAAAUUGGCACUCUUGUACUUGAUCUUCUUUGCCAACAUCUGAUCCGAAUGAAGGACGCCAUAUGCCAAAUAUUUGAUGUAGGGAGUCAUCCAGCAGUUAGAUCGCUCGAUACACAUCACUGCUUCAUGCUGAACACUCGGCUGCUGCAAAACUUCCAAGUAAACCGAUCCAUUGAAAACAUCUGCAUCUGUAGUGGCCAGCUUCGAUAGUGCAUCAGCAAUGGAAUUGUCGCUACGCUCUAUGCCCUAAAACUCGUACAAAGCAAAAUACUAAAGUCGGUCUUUUAAUUCCGCCAGAUACUUGAUCAUCCGGGUCCCACGAGCUUCAUAAUCUCCCGACAGCUGUUUGACGACCAACUGAGAGUCACUGUAAAUGAUCAGCUUCUGGACUUCUAGACUCUUUGCCAAUCAAACACCUGCUAACACUGCUUCGUACUCGGCUUCGUUGUUCGUCGCUUUAAACCCGAAUCUGAUGGCCUGCUGAAUUUUGAACCCCUAAAGACUCGUCAAGAUAAUUCCUGCCCCACUAACAGUUACCGUAGAGGAUCCAUCUGCAUAUAACGUCCAAGCACUCUGACCCUGUUGAAGAACUGCAACUGCUCGGUCAGACGAUUCAACCUCUGAUAACUCGGCAUCUGCUUCGGUAAAUGAGCAUUCUACCAUAAAAUCGGCCAACGCCUGACCCUUGAUAGCGGUUCGGGGAUGGUAUUCGAUGAAAAAUUGGGACAGCUCCAUAGUCCAUGCUGCUAGUCUCCCUGAAACUUCUGGCUUGCCCAUCACCUUCUUCAAUGGUUGAUCCGUGUAGACGACCAGGAGUCUACCUUGAAAAUAUUAUCGAAGCUUUCUACUAGCAAUUAUUAAAGCAAAGACAAAUUUCUCAAUAUUCGGGUACCUGGUUUCAGCAUCUCGUAAGACGUGACUAACAUAAUAGAUCGGAUGUUCCUUCCCGCUGACCUCCCGCACCAGCACUGCUCCGACUGCCAUCGAACUUGCUGCAAGGUAUAGAUAUAAAGUCUCUGCUGGGGCAGGCUUCACCAAUAAAGGAGCAGAAGAAAGAUAUGUCUUUAUGCCUUGGAAGGCGUCUUCACAUUCCGAAGUUCACUGAAACGUCUUCGCAUUCUUCGGCCCUUUCAAUGUGUCAAAAAAAGGAAGGCAUAUCUCCGCAGAUUUGGCGACGAACCUCCUUAAAGUUGCAAUCCUAGCAGUCAGACGUUGGACGUCUUUGAACGACUGAGGAGUCUUCAUAUCAAGAAUGACCUGGAUCUUCUCUGGAUUGGCCUCGAUGCCCCUCUGACUGACCAGAUAACCCAAAAACUUUCCUGCACCGAGGCCGAAAGUGCAUUUGGCCGGAUUGAGUCUCAGUUGACGAUGACGGACAGUCUGAAAGCAUUCCUCUAGAUCGUCCAAAUGAUUCUGAACCUGCAUGCUCUUCACGAUCAUAUCGUCUACAUAUACCUCCAUGUUCCUCCCUAGCUGCCUGUCGAAGAUGAAGUUCAUCAUUCUCUGGUAGGUGGCUCCCGCGUUUAUAAGGCCAAAAGUCAUCUUCUUGUAGGCGUACACCGAACGGUGUGUAAUGAACGCUGUCUUUGGAAUGUCCUCCUUACACAUGGAUAUUUGAUGAUAAUCUGAAAAAGCAUCCAUAAAGCUUAGUAAUGCAUACCCCGAAGUGGCAUCGAUGAGCUGAUCGAUAUGGGGCAGAGGAUAAAAGUCCUUCGGACAAGCUUUAUUGAGAUCGGUGUAGUCGAUGCAAACCCGCCAUUUUCCAUUCUGCUUCUGCACCAACACCACAUUCUCCAUCUACUCGGGAUAAUCAAUUUCAUAGAUGAAGUCGGCAGCUAACAUCUUUGCAAUUUCCUCAUCAAUGAUCUUCUGUCGCUCGGGCGCAAAGAUCUGCCUUUUCUGCCGAACUGGCUUCUUCGAGGGAUUUACAUCCAGACUAUGCUCAGCUAUCUUCUGGCUAACUCCAGGCAUGUCCUGUGGUUCCCAUGCAAAGAUAUCCGCAUAGCAGCGUCAAAGUUCCAUAAGGUUUGUCCGAAGAGGCUCUGGUAGACUCGAACCGAUCUUCACAAUCUUGUCUGGCUUUCCGAUGAUCAACUCGAUCUCCUCCGUCCCACCUACAGGGAUCACCAACGGUUCUGAACUACUCUCGGUGAAAGGUUCGAUCUCAAUUGCCAUUGUUUGUUUCUGUUUACUGACCCCCACUCCGGACGAAAUAACAGCAUUCCGAUAACAUCGUUAGGCCAGAUCUAAGUCCCCCGCCACCUCUCCUACUCCAUGCGCCGUGGGGAAUUUGAUUUUGAAAUGAGGGAUGGAGGUCACAGCUUGGAGAGCCGUCAAAGUAGGUCUUCCCAGUAUGGCAUUGUAAGCCGAAUCUACAUGCACAACAUAAAAUUUACACGUUAUUUCUCCCUGCUGAGGUGCUGUGCCGAAGAUAACUGGGAGUUCAAUAGUGCCUACAACUUUGACUGGAUCGUUGCUGAAACCGUAUAAAGGAGCCUCCUGCCCGACCUCCAUUUUUUGCCCGUCAAGAUGCAUCCUCUGAUAGGCAUGGGCAUACAGAAUAUCCACCGAAGACCCGUUGUCUAUCAUCAUGCGUUUCACAUCCACCGAGCCCACUUGUGUUGUGAUCACCAAGGCCCCCUCGUGUGGCUCGAUGGGCUCCGAAGGAUAAUCUGCGUCCGUAAACGAUAUGACGGUCCCUGGGAAUGGUCUGUCAAUCUUCAGGGGAGCAUCUGUCACAGACAUGACCGAAUCCAAGUAAGCCCUUCUCUUCUUCCCUAUCAACUUCCCUAUAUAUCCACCGGUUAUUAUAUCGAUGACAUGCCUUGGCGGCGGUACUGGAGCAUUUUGGAUGGAUAGAGCCAUUUGAACUAUCUGAACAGUACAGUUGAUAUUCUGCUGAUCACGUUGGUCGUUCACGGCCACAUACUGCACCAAAAAACCAUUUUUAAUCUUCUUCUCCAUGAAAUCUUUUAAAUUGCAACACUCAUUAGUGUCAUGGCCCGCGACUUGAUGAUAUCCACAAUACUUACGAGAGUUACCCUGUCCUGUCCUAUAAUUAUCACGAGGUGGCUCGAAAAAAGGCUGGUUUCUGAUCUGAUCCAAAAUCACCGACCUAUCUGUGUUCAGUUUGGUGUAGACCUUAUUUACCUUCGGGGCGGGAACAGGUGGAUGACUACUUCCUUGCCGCCAUGAGUUAUUGUACUUCUUCGAACUGCCCUCUAGCUGAUCAUUAUACCCCCCUGUUCUCCUCUGAUCAACUUCGGCCUUGGGAACUUCUAUCUGCUUUAAAUGGUCCGAAGAAGGAUGCUUCAGGCUGUUCAUGGCCUCUUCUACAACAAUAUAAUCUUCUGCCUUGUCAAAGGCUUCUGCCAGGCUCUUCGGAUAGUGGAACAUUAAUUUUUUCCCCAACUUCCCGGACUUCACCAGAUCUAGCCCGUUCUGGAACAAACCUACAGCCUGGAGAUCAUUAAGGUCGGACACCUGACCAACUGCUUCUCUGAACCUCUUUACAUACUGGCCUAAAGAUUCGCUAGUGAACUGUCGGAUCUGUGCUAGAGAACCCGUAGGCUUUUCCCUUCUUCGGUUGCUCCCAAAACGUGCAUGAAACUUAUCACAAAGCUCGGUCCAAGAGGAUAUCUAAUCGGAUGGUAAAGUCCCCAUCCACUGUCUCGCAUCUUUUUUCAACGUCGUGACAAAAGUGUGGCACUUGGCGGCAUUAGUGAAGUCAUAAUAGUCCAUCAGCCGAUCGAAUGCCUGACUAUGGUCAUAGGUAUCUCCGGACCCAUCGUAACUCUCCAUACGAGGCAACUUUUUGUGAUAUCUGCCUUCUCCUUGAGAAUAUCUGAGGAAAAAGGGGACGCCUUCUUUCCCGGAGUGUCCUUCACUUGUUGGACCUCAGCCAGCUGCUUUCGGAGUUCUUUUAACUCCUUUACCAGAAAAUCAACACCUUCGGGCUGCGAGGAAACCUCUUUUUCAUGAACGACAUUCUGUCUCUGAGUGGAUUGACCUCCUCCUGUCGGUCCCAUUGCCCUUGUGGGGCUUCUUGAUCUACUCCGGCGCGCACUUCUGUCCUCAUGAUGAGAAUGGUCACGCUGAUACUCCCUUGUUCUGGUUUCUGGCACGAUCUCCCUCGACCUGCUUCUUCGUCUGUUGUCGUCUCGAUGCUGAGAACCAACGACCAUCAGUGCCUUCUUCGGGGCCACGGGAGUUCUGUUCCUCGAUCUUCUCCUACAGUGAGAACGAUCCCUAAACAUAUGCGCAGAAUACUCCGGCUCCUUGCCCUCUCGCCGUGAUAUCUCCUUAUGCCUACUCCGCCUUUCGGACUGAACAUGGCUAGAUGCUUCGUCCCUUAAUUCCGCCACGCGAAGCAUCUGUUCGGCUAUAUCUUCUCUCUGUUUCAACAGAACCUCCAAGGCUUUAUCUGCUUCGUCUGCCAUCCUCGCCAACUUGGCAGCUCUGUCCUCCUGAUCACUUCGACGAUGAGUCUUGGUCGGUGAGCCUUCUGCCCGCCCUCGACCAUGAUCACGCUCCUUAUCCGCAUUGAAAACCAACUUACGUCUGGCCCCACCAUGGAUCUUCGGACGGAGAUCUCCUGAAUUAUACUUAGAAGCCGUGCUCUCGUGAGCGCUUUUAGAAGGACCCAGGCGAUCCUUUACCGAAACACGAGGCAGUGACGAGCUAACAGCCAUCGCCUGCCCUUCUGGCGUACCAUCUCUACUCCUCAUCAUCUUCCGAAGUAGGUUAAACAAUUGUGAUUGAAAAUUUCAAUGACACUAGAACUAAACCCCUCCUUCUAGCGCCAAUGUUAACGCUAAGAUCUUCUGCCACGUCCCAAUCACGUAAGACGCCCUGAUCCUGCACAGUAAACACGAUAAACACCACAAGCUUGACGGCUGUUCCGUCGGGGGAUAGCUCAGGCGUAAGAGUCAGUAUACGUGUUCACAAGGUUAACAAUGGAGGAUGUAAUGUCUAGUGUAUUGAGAGAGAUAAUAAUUCUCCGUUGUGUGUAUGUGAUUAUCAAUGUGAAUGUUAACGUACCUGUUUGUGAAGACCUCCUUACUAAGUUAUACUCUCUUUGCCCGGAUUACCGUGCCACCCAUUACUAUCUGACACGGCCCCCUGAUCUGAUGGAUUCUGCCGACUGCAUGUAGUCUACCUACUACUUUUGGUCACUGUUUCUUCCGCCGGCCGGCUAUGAUCCCAUCCACAUUAAUGCAUGACAGGUGUUUUAGUCAACCGUCAUCCUUUUCCAUCAUUACAAGUCAAAGAUAGAGAUAUUAAAAUAUCUAAUGGGUCGAUCCACUGAUCAACCCGAUCUUAAAAGGAUCCAACAGAAAUAAUAUAAUGACUAGGCCAAAUAACUUUAAGACUCAAUAGUAAGGACCCAAUGAACAAAUCAAAUAAGUAGGCCCAAUAUACUCGGCCCAGAGAGGAGAAAUAUCAUGACCCAAUAUAUAUCAUAUCAAAUGAUUACUAUAUUAAUAUUUAAAAUUUGUGCAAAAUUUAUUUUUAAAAGUAUUAUAAAAUACACUAAAUUACAAUCAUCAUCUCCAAAGUUUCAAGUCAUGAAACAUAAUGAUAUAAAUAGAACAAAAUAUAUAUUUAUAGAAAAGUCAAAAUAAAACCUCAUGCCUGAAAUUAAAAAUUCUACUCAUUUUAAUUAAUUGUUACAACUUGCAUUUUCUUAUGUUCAGAUAACUAUUUUUAAAAUUAGUAGUUUAUGUCAUUUUUGAAAAAUAUAGGCCAAAAUACACAAUGAACCUUUUGUUCGAGAGUAUAUACCGAGUUACCAACAACACUAUUGAUUUUUUUAAGACUCGAGUAAUCGCAUAUAAAAUUGUUUGGAUGCAAUUUGAUAAUUUUAAAAUUACACUUGACACCAUUUGUGAUUGGUGUAAUGCGAUUUUAAAAUUUGUGUUGUAGUUAGUUCGGUUUUGGUUUCAAAAUUAAUUAACAUAGUCAAAAAUAAUAUUAAAUACAUCAAAUUAUCUUUGUCUAAGAAAAAAAAUUCCAAAUAUUACUAUGUAAUUUCAUGGAGAAUGGGACAGUAAAAAUAAUUUAAAUACUAAACCAUUUUACAAAUAAUAGAAAAAAAUAAAUGAGAGAAGAAGUUUUAUGAAUAAUAAAUUGAGAUAUAAAAUUAAGAUAUCAUACUAAACGGUAAAACAAUGAGAAAUGUCAAAUAUAUCAUUGGCAAGUGAGAAGCAAUGAGGUCAAUCUCUUUUAAAUAUACAAUAUGAAUUCUGAUACAGCAAUGUAGUUGGACUCUCGUGUACUCAAUUAAUCAUUUUUCCUGGGAGGUCAAUCUUUGCUGUUAGGCAAGAGGAUAGAAAGAUCCACUUUCCACUUAACUGAACUAAGAGCAAUUUCUUAUUAGAAAAGAUAAAAAGACUGUAAAAAAAUAUUUUUAACCCCAAUAUAUCUUUUUUGAAUGAAAGAUUAUAUAUGCCGAAUUUGAAUUGAUCUCGAUUAAUCCUUCAUUAUUGAUCAACAGAAAAGUAACAAGUAGGGAUGACACCCACCCAUCACAACAUAACCACACCAAUACAAAGAUAAAAAAUUAUGAUUCAAAAUGUAUACAUCACACAUUUCAAAUAUUAUUAUUAUUUUAAAAUUAUUAUUAUUAUUAUUAUUAUUAAUUUUGAAAUUAUUAAAAUUCAAUCAAAAAUUCAAUAAAACGUGUCAUUAGUUUUGUCGUAUAUAUAUAAGUGGUGCGGUGCAAGAGCCUCGUAAAAUGGCACCCACACGCAUACGUGGAAACUCUUAAAAUACGCCCCCACAUAUGUCAAAACUGUUAAUGCGGCUAAUCAGUACCGUUUACUAAUUUUUAGUGCUAUUUUGGGGCCCAUUUUGAGUCCUGCUCAGCCCAAGUAGCCGCACACGAUUUGAAGGGCUAUAAUAACCCGCUGAGAACCUUUGGCCUCUUAUGCAUACACUAGCAUCCGAUGGCUCAGACGCACAGUAGACAAAUAAUUUAUUUAUAAAAUUUAAAGGGUUAAAUUAAAAAAUAAAACAAAAUAAUAUAAUAUAAGAAAGAAAAUAAAAAUUAUCAUCCAAAUUAAAGGACAUUUUUGAAAGCCAAAAAGACUACAUAAAUUGAACUAACAAACCAGUAUAUAGGAGUAUUAGAUUACUUGAACAACUAACACAACAUUUAUACACAAUUUGCAUAAAUAAUCAACGUACCGCCGCUGAUCAUUUAAAUUUGAGGGGGUUUGUGUCGCGUAGGGCAGCAAGUCAACCACCUAUGCGACCUACCGAGUUAAAUUCGUGGAACAUAUUCAAUUGAAAAAUGCCCUUUUGAUCUUUGAUUACUUGUUAAUUCUAUUUUUAAUUGUUUUUGAUAUGUUAAGUUUGUGAUUUUUGUUAAUUCGUAAAAGAAUCUUGUGAGACUACGUAUUUUCCACGUCAAAGGAAAGAAGUUUCAAACUUUAUGAAAGAAAGAAAGAAUCUGAUUAAAAAUAAAAAAUUAAAUAGAAUGGUAAAAUAUGGUAUUGAUUAAUACACAGAUGUAUAUGGAAUAAAAAUUAAAAAAAAUCGAAGAGUGAUGGAUGUUUGAUCCAUAAUCAAGAAAGAAUUAUGGUCUCAAAACAGAAAACUCCAUCCAAUUCCGGUGCGAAUCUUGGAUUUCCCCUCCUCUGCUGUCGUUGAGGUUCUUGAUUUUCCGGCUCCUUCUUGACUCUCGUCGUCGUCGUCGGAGGGGCUUGUUUAGUUAGUACCGGCGGCGGAUUACCCCAAGAAAAUCCGACUUUCUGACCAAAGGAUUCGGCAGAAAGAACAUCAAAUGAACUGAAAAUUGACAUCAUCAUCGUGUCCUGCUACCUUAAUUCUUUCUUCCUUAGCUCUUGCUAGCUACUUUUCUUUUCCUUCACUCUCUUUGCAAAAGUAAACGUUUGAUGAUAUUAUGAAAACUUUUAACUUGUCAACUGUGUCUGUAAUCGUAGAUGGAUGGCUACAAUAAUAUAACAGAGGAAGUGGAGUUUAUAUAGGAAAGGAAAAGGAAAAGGAAAAGGAAAAGGAAAAGGAUGACUUGACUUCUUUAUUUUGUUGUUUGGAUCGGACCGGACUGGACCGGACCAGGCAAUUAGCGUGGAAGUUGGAAUUUUGGUCAGAUUAAGGAGAAACAUAAAGCGUGUCGGUCGGUCCACUAAUCCUUCUGG